CCGGUCGGAGACGCCGAGAUCAUCUCCCACGUCAUAGCCGGCCUAGACAUUGACUACAACCCCGUGAUCUCGGCUCUGGCUGCGCGGGUUGAACCUGUUAUGGUUCAGGAGCUGUAUAGUCCGCUCCUGAGCUUCGACG
rfam:Hordeum vulgare subsp. vulgare, WGS project CAJW01000000 data, contig: morex_contig_1705600